rnacentral:rRNA from 1 species
UACGAAGGGGGCUAGCGUUGCUCGGAAUCACUGGGCGUAAAGGGUGCGUAGGCGGGGCUUUAAGUCAGAGGUGAAAUCCUGGAGCUCAACUCCAGAACUGCCUUUGAUACUGAGAAGCUUGAGUCCGGGAGAGGUGAGUGGAACUGCGAGUGUAGAGGUGAAAUUCGUAGAUAUUCGCAAGAACACCAGUGGCGAAGGCGGCUCACUGGCCCGGUACUGACGCUGAGGUGCGAAAGCGUGGGGAGCAAACAGG